UCAAAGAUUAAGCCAUGCAUGUCUAAGUAUAAGCAAACUUUACUUGUGAAACUGCGAAUGGCUCAUUAAAUCAGUUAUAGUUUAUUUGAUAGUACCUUACUACUUGGAUAACCGUGGUAAUUCUAGAGCUAAUACAUGCUACAAAUCCCGACUUCUGGAAGGGAUGUAUUUAUUAGAUUAAAAACCAAUCCGGGCAACCGGUUUUCUGGUGAUUCAUAGUAACUUUUCGAAUCGCAUGGCUAUACGCCGGCGAUGGUUCAUUCAAAUUUCUGCCCUAUCAACUUUCGAUGGUACGGUAUUGGCCUACCAUGGUUUUAACGGGUAACGGGGAAUUAGGGUUCGGUUCCGGAGAGGGAGCCUGAGAAAUGGCUACCACAUCCAAGGAAGGCAGCAGGCGCGCAAAUUACCCAAUCUCGAUUCGAGGAGGUAGUGACAAGAAAUAACAAUCCAGGGCUCUCUGAGUCUUGGAAUUGGAAUGAGAACAAUUUAAAUCCCUUAACGAGGAACAAUUGGAGGGCAAGUCUGGUGCCAGCAGCCGCGGUAAUUCCAGCUCCAAUAGCGUAUAUUAAAGUUGUUGCAGUUAAAAAGCUCGUAGUCGAACCUUGGGCUUGGCUGAAGGGUCUGCCUCACGGUACGUACUCUUCUGGCUGGGCCUUUCCUUCUGGCGAGCCAGGGUGCUCUUAAUUGAGUGCUUUGGGGAACCAGGACUUUUACUUUGAAAAAAUUAGAGUGUUCAAAGCAAGCAAUCGCUUGAAUACAUUAGCAUGGAAUAAUAGAAUAGGACUUUGGUUCUAUUUUGUUGGUUUCUAGAACCGGAGUAAUGAUUAAUAGGGAUAGUUGGGGGCAUUAGUAUUUAAUUGUCAGAGGUGAAAUUCUUGGAUUUAUGAAAGACUAACUUCUGCGAAAGCAUUUGCCAAGGAUGUUUUCAUUGAUCAAGAACGAAAGUUAGGGGAUCGAAGACGAUCAGAUACCGUCGUAGUCUUAACCAUAAACUAUGCCAGCUCCGGAUCGGCCGGUGUUUACACGACCCGGUCGGCACGGUGUGAGAAAUCAAAGCUUUUGGGUUCUGGGGGGAGUAUGGUCGCAAGGCUGAAACUUAAAGGAAUUGACGGAAGGGCACCACCAUGGAGUAAACGCAAGUACAGUUUCAACUGCUUAAGCCGCAGUUAACUCUGCUCCUAAAAGCGGCCCGAAAGGGUGAGGUGGUUUGCGCUUAGAAAAACAAAUGUAAACGCUAGUCAGUCUUUAUCGAGACUGGCAACACCGUCAAAUUGCGGGAAACCCCUAAAGCUCUCAACUACCAAGCUAACAUUGAAAAGUGCUUAGUGGCCAGGGUAAUGACCUCGGGUAAGGUAAAAACGUUGAGAGAUGUUAACAAUGGGCAAUCCGCAGCCAAGCUCUAAAGGUUUUUUAAACCCAUGAGUGCAGUUCACAGACUAAAUGUCGGUGGGUCCAAAAGUGUAUUGCUAUCAAUAUAUGACACCAAGAGUUUCUACAGAAAGAGAACUAGAGUCCGUAUUCCCAUUUGCCGCACUCGGUGUUCCUGAAGGGGAGGAUACACUCCAUUUUGGCAGACAAGACCUUAUGAACACAUGGGUGAAACACGCCCCCACAAGGCAUGCAUCGUAUGAUGGAAAGGUUCUGGCAGGCGUUUCUUGCAAGGUUAUCCGCUUGCGGUUCCACAACCAAAUGUGCCGGGUUAAUACACCUUGACCAGUGGCACAGGUGUGAAACUUGCAAUGGAUUGGAUAGCCCCACAGUUGCAUAGACUCGCUCCAUGAGCUCUCGACCAUUUUCCUUGCGUAACAUUGCCAGAUGGUGGAGGUAAGGUUGGCCCAUGUUGCUUUUUCGGAGAUUGAUCUUGCCAUAUUGGCGACCUCCGGGUGUAUCGUCCUCUACGGCCGAUGUGUGUGGAAUACAGCCGAGCUCAUUCACUUCUCCAGCCCGCUUCUUCCAAUAUUUCCUGACAUCUGCGUCACUGAGAGAGAGGAAAGCUCUCUGUUCCUCAGGCGCAGGCAUAGACAAGACCGAUGCGACAAAGUUGGCCCUCUCUUCUGCAUCGCCCGCACUUGUUGUGGGUCGGGUGGCGGGGAUGGGAUUAACGAAAGUUGCAGUCGCCUGGUGUACUGGAAGGAUUUGGAGUUGCUGCUGGCGGAGGUAGGUGUAGAGACGGGCAGCGCCCUGUCUCUGUUGUCCGGCAGGCAAGGUGGAAACGAACUGGGUGAACUCUUGGUAGUCCAUAGUUGUUGAUAUCAAUUCCCUCUGGGCUUAAGAUAUAGUCGGGCUUCCUGGGAAACCAGGAAGAUAAUUGAAAGAGCUGACGUCACAACAUGGAUUUUGCACAUCGCAGUCCAUGGCAUGACACAGUGAUUUCAUCACGUAAGGAUCUCACAAUAACGGGAGCCUGCGGCUUAAUUUGACUCAACACGGGGAAACUCACCAGGUCCAGACAUAGUAAGGAUUGACAGAUUGAGAGCUCUUUCUUGAUUCUAUGGGUGGUGGUGCAUGGCCGUUCUUAGUUGGUGGAGUGAUUUGUCUGGUUAAUUCCGAUAACGAACGAGACCUUAACCUGCUAAAUAGUCACACGAACAUCUUGUUCGUGGCUGCACUUCUUAGAGGGACUAUGGAUGUUUAAUCCAUGGAAGUUUGAGGCAAUAACAGGUCUGUGAUGCCCUUAGAUGUUCUGGGCCGCACGCGCGCUACACUGAUGAAGUCAACGAGUAUACAACCUUGGCCGGAAGGUCCGGGUAAUCUUGUGAAACUUCAUCGUGCUGGGGAUAGAGCAUUGCAAUUAUUGCUCUUCAACGAGGAAUUCCUAGUAAGCGUGAGUCAUCAGCUCGCGUUGAUUACGUCCCUGCCCUUUGUACACACCGCCCGUCGCUACUACCGAUUGAAUGGCUUAGUGAGGUCUUCAGAUUGGAGGGCUGCAUCCAGCGAUGGAGGCGGCUCACCGAGAAGUUGAUCAAACUUGGUCAUUUAGAGGAAGUAAAAGUCGUAACAAGGUAUCCGUAGGUGAACCUGCGGAUGGAUCAUUA
rnacentral:rRNA from 1 species